rnacentral:lncRNA from 13 species
UUGCAAUUUAAACUUUUAUUGCUGUAAUCUGUAUACAAGUCAUAUAUGAAAAGUGUCAAAUAUCAUUGUCCAGCAGUGAAAUUAGGAUUCUUUCAAAUUGGAGGGAAAUGUUAACAGAGUGCAACUGUGUCCUGCCAGUGUUUCUCCUGGCAAGCUGGCUCUGAGAAGGCUGUUUUCCUUUUAGCCAUCUGUGCUUCCAUAAACAAUCUGCAGUGGUUUUUUCUUCUAAUUCAAAUUCUAGCAGCUGGAUUUCCUCCUUAGUUCCUUUUGGUGCUGUGACACCAGUAGCAUCGCACCCAUGAAUCUUUGUGCUACUUUCUACUUGUAGGGAUUAUAUUACCAAAAAUGUUAAAUAAGCAGUUCACAUGAUUUUCCCACAGGAGGAUUCUGCAAUGCGUGUGCUAGAGUAGGCCAACUGAGGCCUGCGUUAGAAAAUGGAAGAGAGCGUUUUAUGCCCCCUGCCCAACUUUAAAUGUCCGUGGUUGUUCUUCUCUAUUUAAAAACAGUGGCCUUGACAGAAGUUCUAGGAAUUUGCCUGGUCAGAAGACUUGGCCAAGGACCCUCCAAGCUCUUCAUUUUCCCAUGGUUGACUGCUCAAGGCAUCUACAGCUUCACCAGACACUGAGAAGCUCUCUUUGCCUUAAAGAAAGCCACGUAGGAUUAAGUUUUGAACAACAGUUUGGGCUGAUCUUCCAACCAGAAUUCAUAAAAUAUCGUUCACUUCUUCAACAACCUUAUAGUAAACAACUUGGCUAAGAAAACUCUCUUUUAUUUUAUAACACUCUGCAUUUCUACAUAGGUUUCUUGGAUAAAGGUAUCCAGGCUGUGAGCACUGCAGGCUCUUCCUUUACCCAGGAGAGGCUGGUGCUGUCAGGUCACAGACAACCCCUCGUCUACCAAGUUUUCAUCACCAGGGAGAGUUUCAAGUUUUUCCUCUUUACUAACAGGAUGAGAGACUAUUUUCUUGUGGGACCAGGCAAUUUAUCUCCCUAACUGGUUUGCAGUUCUCAAAGUCCACAGGCCUGCCUUUGCUUUUACACUAUGCUCAUGCUUUGAUGAUGUCACGUUGAUGAGUAUAGCCUGCCACAAAAUGUGUACCUUCCCACAGGCAAAGCUGGGCAUUUGUCCUUCUCUAACUUCCUAUAGGUAUUUCUGAAUCCUUCUGUUUUGUGGUGUACAGUGUUAUUUGUAGCCCACUAUAGAUUUAGACCUCCUCCUGUAAAUCCUUGUAGCUUUGCAUAAUGCUCAGUCACAUAGUAGACAGCUUGAUGGACUUGCUCAUUUGUAUGUAUGAGUGAGCACAAUUGUUUAUACAGUGCAUUAUGGAAGGGGUCUCAGGAAAGGGCUUUAUACCAGCCUUCCCAAAAUCUGACAAAGUGGCUUCCUUGGCUUUUUACAUGUUCUGAUAAUGCCUUGUUUGCUCUACAAACAUCAGGCCAGUUUCCCUGAAAUCCAUUUGACACCUGUUUCUUAAAUCUUGAUGUGAGCUAUCACUUUCUUUCUCUGUUCUUUCAUUUUUUUAGCAUUAGUAGUUGAAAGAAGAUUAAAGAAGUGUCAGAUUUUAGGCAGAUUGAUCUCAGAGCAAAUUAAUUUGCCAAACAUUGCACUCCUACUCUUAUUUUAAAGAGAUUGAUAGUACAUUUCCUGAGUCUAAAUGUACUAUCUUGGGCUUUUCAGGCUGAUUUGACAAACUACCAUA